UAGAACCCCUCCCUCACUCUCUCAGCCUUCUUCGAAGCCAAUUCGAGCGGUGAAAUAGCUACCGGAAUUAGAGUUUGAUUUAACCUUUUGUGUUCUUCGUGGAAUUUCUUGUGCCAGUGGUCCCAGGUCUAUCGUCUUCCUUCUGGAGUGGCGACGGAAAACAAGCCCGCGGCAGCUGAGGACGCGAAGAUCGACCUCUUUGAGGAUGAUGACGAGUUCGAGGAGUUCGAGAUCGACCAAGAUUCAUAUCCAACAAUGGGAAGAAACUAAGAGUUGCCCUAAUUCAGAAAAGAACUGAAAUAUCCACUUGAGAGUCGACGCUCAAACCCAGUCUGACCCAGAUACCAUCUCUGCUUGGAUCUCUUUCUUCUUCAACGAUCCGAGAAUUCCAUCCACCUUGCAGCUCAGUUUCUCUCUACCCGUUCGUCGACCGGCCGAUGCUGUGCCAGUGCAGGGAUUGGAAUGGCAGAUGGUGCACAUAAUGAACUUGAGGGCCUUGGAGGUCUAACUACAUCAAUUGGGCAACUAAACAUCGAAAAUACUUCAUUGCCAUCUACUAGGGGAGAUCAAAAUGAUAUACAAGGUGACGGUUAUCAUCAAGAGUUGGUUCUUUGUGAAUCCAGGCACAGAUUUAGCACAUAUCAAGUGAUAAUUUCCACUUGUUAUAACGUAUAUUACCCAAAAUCAUUUGGCACUUUAUUCUUAUGAUGGAAGUGAUAAUUUUUGGUUUGAAGAUGAUCUUUCAAAUGACAUUUUAGAUGAUGACUCGAGUCAUGCAUCUGUAUUAAACAGAGAAGGGAGGUGCAGGCUUAACAAAAAUCAUACAGUAUCCUUUCAGACCAUGCCAAAUCAUUCACUUAUCUUCGUCUACUAGCUUAUGUGCGCAGAAUUUUCUAAUUCAUUACUGCAUCUCUAUAUGAACAAGAUCUUCUAAAAACUUUUUGAACCACGACCGUUUGGAUGACUUGACAAAAUUUUGGAUGGGAUAUCGAUUUGGUAUAACAGCAGGCAAGGAAGCUUCUGCACAAGAGGGUUUUAAUGUUGGCUUUAGGCAAUCUGUACAUGUUGGUUAUAGAUGGGGCCUUGUCAGGGGCAUUACUAGGUAAAAAGAGGCUCCUGCUAUGAGUCCUGAUCUCUAAGCAUGAAUAUUUCAAGUCAAUUUAGAAAUAUAUUGAUCCGUACUGAUUGCCCUUCUUUCUUUUAAAAUUUUCUUGGUAAUUACAAACAUAGUGCGCUUGCCGGCCUCUCAGAUUCCUCUAAAGAAAAGUUGGUGAAGAAGUUUGAGAACAGAGAGAGGUUCCUGAAUUUGGAUAAAUCUGUGCAAGCAAUAUCCGCAAAUGAUUCUCUCAAAAUGUAUUAUAAUAGCAUCUUGCAGAAUGGAUCGGUGCAUUCUCAAGAUCAUUCGGAAGGAGAUCAGCAAGUAGCAUCCUUGACAGAUGAAGAUUCAAACUCCAAUAAGUCAGAGAAUCUUUAUAAGGACCUUAUUUCUCUUCUCAAUGAUGCUUCAGAAAUUAAUGUUAAUGCAAUUAAGACAUGAGUUGGUUGUAUGACCGUCCCGUUAAAUGAAUGUUCUGGUAUUAUAUGAAUGAACAAAUAGCUUGUAUUCCUUAUAUGGGGGCUUAUCGGUUACAUUUCACCGCAAAAUUGUCACCAUACCAUUCUGUGUUAGCGCAUUAUAGACUGGGGCGGUGUAAUCUGUAGAGAUAUGCUUUUUGUUGGUUUAUCAUAGCUUCUUGUUCCUUGUAAGUCGCUACAAUAAAUGUUAUGACUAAACAAUUCCAAACUCGUUUUCUUCAAUAUUUUACCUGUUAUUAUAUUAUAUGCGAUCCA